rnacentral:rRNA from 1 species
GACGAACGCUGGCGGCGUGCUUAACACAUGCAAGUCGAGCGGAAAGGCCCUUUCGGGGGUACUCGAGCGGCGAACGGGUGAGUAACACGUGAGUAAUCUGCCCUGGACUCUGGGAUAGCCACCGGAAACGGUGAUUAAUCCCGGAUACAACCCCUAUCCGCAUGGGUUGGUGGUGGAAAGUUUUUUCGGUCCAGGAUGUGCUUGCGGCCUUUCAGAUUGUUGGUGAGGUAAUGGCUCACCAAGGCUUUGACGGGUAGCCGGCCUGAGAGGGUGACCGCUCAAACUGGGACCUGGACAAGGCCCAGACUCCGACGGGAGGCAGCAGUGGGGAAUAUUGGACAAUGGGCGGAAGCCUGAUCCAGCAACGCCGCGUGAGGGAUGACGGCCUUCGGGUUGUAAACCUCUUUCAGUACCGACGAAGCGCAAGUGACGGUAGGUACAGAAGAAGGACCGGCCAACUACGUGCCAGCAGCCGCGGUAAUAC